UGGGGAAUAUUGCACAAUGGGCGAAAGCCUGAUGCAGCGACGCCGCGUGCGGGAUGAAGGCCUUCGGGUUGUAAACCGCUUUUAAUUGGGAGCAAGCGAGAGUGAGUGUACCUUUUGAAUAAGCACCGGCUAACUACGUGCCAGCAGCCGCGGUAAUACGUAGGGUGCAAGCGUUAUCCGGAAUUAUUGGGCGUAAAGAGCUCGUAGGCGGUUUGUCACGCCUGGUGUGAAAGUCCAUCGCUUAACGGUGGAUCUGCGCCGGGUACGGGCAGGCUAGAGUGCAGUAGGGGAGAUUGGAAUUCCCGGUGUAACGGUGGAAUGUGUAGAUAUCGGGAAGAACACCAAUGGCGAAGGCAGAUCUCUGGGCUGUUACUGACGCUGAGGAGCGAAAGCAUGGGGAGCGAACAGGAUUAGAUACCCUGGUAGUCCAUGCCGUAAAACGGUGGAUGCUGGAUGUGGGACCCUUCCACGGGUUCCGUGUCGGAGCUAACGCGUUAAGCAUCCCGCCUGGGGAGUACGGCCGCAAGGCUAAAA
rnacentral:rRNA from 1 species